rnacentral:tRNA from 1 species
GCCGGUGUGGCGGAAUUGGCAGACGCGCGGGACUCAAAAUCCCGUGUCUUUACGACGUGUCGGUUCGAUCCCGACCACCGGUA